UGGCUCUCGCAUCGAUGAAGAACGCAGCGAAAUGCGAUAAGUAAUGUGAAUUGCAGAAUUCAGUGAAUCAUCGAAUCUUUGAACGCACCUUGCGCUCCUUGGUAUUCCGAGGAGCAUGCCUGUUUGAGUGUCAUCAAGUUCUCAACCAUACCCUGGGUGUCUCCUGGGUGUGGCUUGGAUUUGGGGGGUUUUGCAGGCUUUCUUUGAAAGAACAAAGUCGGCUCCUCUGAAAAGCAUUAGUGGUGUCUGAGCUACCUUGGGUGUGAUUAACUAUCUAUGCCCUUGGUGUACAUGAACAGAUUGUGCUGCUUCUGAACUUGCGUCUUGCGCAUUUGACAAAUUUGACCUCAAAUCAGGUAGGAUUACCCGCUGA
rnacentral:misc_RNA from 1 species